GACGGAGGGCGCAAGCGUUGUUCGGAAUUACUGGGCGUAAAGCGCGGGCAGGCGGUCUGUUAAGUCAUUUGUGAAAACCCGGGGCUCAACCCCGUGGAAUGCAGAUGAUACUGGCAGACUAGAGAAUGGUAGAGGCUAGCGGAAUUCCUGGUGUAGCGGUGGAAUGCGUAGAUAUCAGGAAGAACACCUGUGGCGAAGGCGGCUAGCUGGGCCAUUUCUGACGCUCAUCCGCGAAAGCGUGGGGAGCAAACAGG
rnacentral:rRNA from 1 species